rnacentral:rRNA from 1 species
CACGUAGGGGGCGAGCGUUAUUCGGAAUUAUUGGGCGUAAAGGGCGCGUAGGCGGCUAGACAAGUCAGGGGUGAAAUCCCUCGGCUCAACCGAGGAACUGCCUUUGAAACUGUCUGGCUUGAGGCCGGGAGAGGGUGGUGGAAUUCCCAGUGUAGCGGUGAAAUGCGUAGAUAUUGGGAGGAACACCAGUGGCGAAGGCGGCCACCUGGACCGGUUCUGACGCUGAGGAGCGAAAGUGUGGGGAGCAAACAGG